AGUGGCGAACUGGUGAGUAACACGUGGGAAACCUGCCCAGAAGCGGGGGAUAACACCUGGAAACAGAUGCUAAUACCGCAUAACAACUUGGACCGCAUGGUCCGAGUUUGAAAGAUGGCUUCGGCUAUCACUUUUGGAUGGUCCCGCGGCGUAUUAGCUAGAUGGUGGGGUAACGGCUCACCAUGGCAAUGAUACGUAGCCGACCUGAGAGGGUAAUCGGCCACAUUGGGACUGAGACACGGCCCAAACUCCUACGGGAGGCAGCAGUAGGGAAUCUUCCACAAUGGACGAAAGUCUGAUGGAGCAACGCCGCGUGAGUGAAGAAGGGUUUCGGCUCGUAAAACUCUGUUGUUAAAGAAGAACAUAUCUGAGAGUAACUGUUCAGGUAUUGACGGUAUUUAACCAGAAAGCCACGGCUAACUACGUGCCAGCAGCCGCGGUAAUACGUAGGUGGCAAGCGUUGUCCGGAUUUAUUGGGCGUAAAGCGAGCGCAGGCGGUUUUUUAAGUCUGAUGUGAAAGCCUUCGGCUCAACCGAAGAAGUGCAUCGGAAACUGGGAAACUUGAGUGCAGAAGAGGACAGUGGAACUCCAUGUGUAGCGGUGAAAUGCGUAGAUAUAUGGAAGAACACCAGUGGCGAAGGCGGCUGUCUGGUCUGUAACUGACGCUGAGGCUCGAAAGUAUGGGUAGCAAACAGGAUUAGAUACCCUGGUAGUCCAUACCGUAAACGAUGAAUGCUAAGUGUUGGAGGGUUUCCGCCCUUCAGUGCUGCAGCUAACGCAUUAAGCAUUCCGCCUGGGGAGUACGGCCGCAAGGCUGAAACUCAAAGGAAUUGACGGGGGCCCGCACAAGCGGUGGAGCAUGUGGUUUAAUUCGAAGCUACGCGAAGAACCUUACCAGGUCUUGACAUACUAUGCAAAUCUAAGAGAUUAGACGUUCCCUUCGGGGACAUGGAUACAGGUGGUGCAUGGUUGUCGUCAGCUCGUGUCGUGAGAUGUUGGGUUAAGUCCCGCAACGAGCGCAACCCUUAUUAUCAGUUGCCAGCAUUAAGUUGGGCACUCUGGUGAGACUGCCGGUGACAAACCGGAGGAAGGUGGGGAUGACGUCAAAUCAUCAUGCCCCUUAUGACCUGGGCUACACACGUGCUACAAUGGAUGGUACAACGAGUUGCGAACUCGCGAGAGUAAGCUAAUCUCUUAAAGCCAUUCUCAGUUC
rnacentral:rRNA from 2 species